AAAGUUGGAAAUGGGUGCCUUAAGGUUUCCAACAGGACGAAUAAGAUCUAACCCUCAAGUGAUACAAGUAAUCAUUCAGUCGGUUCUGUAUCUCCACCUUAGUU
rnacentral:sRNA from 10 species